CUCUCCUGCCCCAACACUUUCUCACGCUCUCGUCUCGCUCUUUCGGUCCUCUCUUGCCGUCAUCCCGAGGCAAGACUUCCCCCGUAAGUCUUGACUCUUUCGUUUCAGAUCGGUGUUGGAAUUGGUGGGGCUUUAUCCUUCUCCUUGGAGUUCUCUUUGACUCCGGUGACGUUCUGAUCCCUUCCGAUUGCUUCAUAAACAUUUUCUUUUUCUGGGUAUUCAUCGUCAAUUCCUUGGCUGUUGUUGAUUGGGGCCAAAAGAUCGAGUUCCUGUUCGUGUUUAUUGUCGUCAUCUGGUAAAGAGGCCAAGAUCAUGACGUGGCCAUGCUUUAUGAAGUCAGCCGUUUCCUUUUGUAUCGUAUUUUCGGUCUUGUUCAAUGAACUCCGAAAUAUUGUGUGGACAUGGCAUUUCUCACUGAAUAUUUCUUGUUGGUAUCUUCUCGGUCCAGACUUUGUUCAAGUGAACAUCGUUUAUGGGAGAUUCUUGGCAAUGCCACUUUCUUGAUGCUGGCAAAAUCGGAAAGUUUGCGGAAUGGUACAUUUAUCUGUUGAUGACUGCAUCAAGAGGGCCUUAUCGUAUGUUCUUGCUGUUGAGCAUUCCCUGACGAUGCUAUUGAAAAUGCGCAAGGCCUUGACCUUCUCCUCUUAAUUCUCUUCCACUCCAUUAAUGUUGAAAUCCCUACCGAUGGCUUCGUAGUUUUUAUUUUCUUUCAUGGGUAUUAAUCGUUAAUUUGAUGGCUAUUGAUAAUUGGGGCCAAAAGAAUUAAGUUUCAGUUCAUGUUUAUCCUCAUCAUCUGGCAACAAGCACAAGAUCAUUGACAAGGCCAUGCUUUCUGUAAUCAUCUUUUUCCCUUAGUAUUGUAUUUUCAGUCUUGUUAAAUGAACUCUGAAAUAUUUUAUGAGCAUGGCAUUUUUCACAAAAUAUUCCUUGUUCAUAUCUUUUCGGUCCAGACUUCAUUCAAGUGGUCUUUUAUGGGAGAUUCUCGGCAAUGCCACUUUCUUGACGCUGGUGAGGAAACACUGUGAUACUUUUCUUGUUUCCUCCCCUUUUGCCUCGAGUCAGUUUUUGCGUGUUGAUCUGAUUCUUGUAGGUAGAAUCGAAAAGUUUGUGGAAGUGGUCAACAGUUCUUCGUUGAUGACUGUAUCGAGAGGAUCUUAUUUCAUGUUCUUACUGCUGGGCAUUCACUGACUAUGCUGUUAAAAUUGUCGUCAGUGAAAUCACAGACAUAGGCAAAUGAUAUGCCUUGUUCUUGCAUAUUAGGCUUGAAAUGUGUGCAAAUGGAACGAUUCCGAGAACAGCAACUAUUGGGGGAAGAUCGCCAGUUAUAAAUCAUAAAAAUGUUUCAUCUCCUCAUGCCUUUUGAGUCCUGCAAGUCUUGCUUGGUGAAAUAUCCCAGAAUCAGGCACAAUGCUCUCUGCAGGUGUUUCCAUUCCCAAAUGCAUAGUGAGCCACUAAACCAGAUACACAACAGGCAUUGUACCCGGUACCUGACUCAUUCCGUGUAUAUGGCAACUACACGGGCAGGCAAGAGGUGGCUCAGCAUAAUAACUUUGUUGUGGAGGACUGAGGAAGAAGUGAAACAACUUGAGCAGAAGUGAAUAUUGGAUUUACGAAGGAGAUCAGAUCAAGUCAUGACCAGAAGGCUUGUCAUUUUGGAGUGGUCUCCAAACCUGGCAGGCCGUGGAAAGACUUUACCGGUCACCCUGUCUCUCGGACCAUUCCACUGCCUGUCUCAAGUGAACUGAUUUUGAAGCUUCAAUGGCUAGCUUUGUUUAGUUUAGGUGGGCAGAACACUUGUAUUCUUUUGGAGAUUGCCGAAAUAUUUGUGAAAAUGGCUUGCUAUUGUCUAUUGAGAGACAAUCACUUGUCCGGGUUAUGAAUUCAAAUUUGUAUGGAGUAUUUGGCUCCUUAUCAACCAAACUGUAAAUUUAUUUUUGAGAUAGUGGAUUUAAACUCCCGGCAAGG